UACGGGGGGAGCAAGCGUUGUUCGGAUUUACUGGGCGUAAAGGGCGCGUAGGCGGCGUGACAAGUCACUUGUGAAAUCUCCGGGCUUAACUCGGAACGGUCAAGUGAUACUGUCGUGCUAGAGUACAGAAGGGGCAACUGGAAUUCUCGGUGUAGCGGUGAAAUGCGUAGAUAUCUGGAGGAACACCGGUGGCGAAGGCGGCAUUCUGGACUGCAACUGACACUGAACGACGAAAGCCAGGGGAGCAAACGGG
rnacentral:rRNA from 1 species